rnacentral:rRNA from 1 species
AUUGAACGCUGGCGGCAGGCUUAACACAUGCAAGUCGAACGAGUGGCGGACGGGUGAGUAAUGCUUGGGAAUCUGGCUUAUGGAGGGGGAUAACGAAGGGAAACUGUCGCUAAUAACGCGUACCAUAGGAUGAGCCCAAGUGGGAUUAGGUAGUUGGUGAGGUGAUGGCCUACCAAGCCGACGAUCUCUCGCUGGUCUGAGAGGAUGACCAGCCACACCUGGACUUAGACACUGCCCGGACUCCUACGGGUGUCAGCCGUGUGGAAUAUUGCGCAAUGGGGGCAACCCUGACGCAGCCAUGCCGCGUGCAUGAUGAAGGCCUUCGGGUUGUAAAGUUCUUUCGGUGACGAGGCGUUACCCGCAGAAGAAGCACCGGCUAACUCCGUGCCAGCAGCCGCGGUAAUAC